rnacentral:rRNA from 1 species
GUUAAAAGGACGUGUGGCUCAACCAUAGUUCGCUUUGGAAACUGUCAAACUUGAGUGCAGAAGGGGAGAGUGGAAUUCCAUGUGUAGCGGUGAAAUGCGUAGAUAUAUGGAGGAACACCGGUGGCGAAAGCGGCUCUCUGGUCUGUAACUGACGCUGAGGCUCGAAAGCGUGGGGAGCGA